AGAGUUUGAUCCUGGCUCAGAAUGAACGCUGGCGGCGUGCCUAACACAUGCAAGUCGGAUGUGCCGCAAGGUGCAUGGCAGACGGGUGAGUAACGCGUAGGGAAUCUACCUUUUUGUGGGGAAUAACGUUCCGAAAGGAAUGGUAAUACCGCAUAAGACCAAUGGCUGGGAUGCUGUUGGUGAAAGCUGGGGACCGCAAGGCCUAGCGCGAGAAGAGGAUCCUGCGUCUGAUUAGCUAGUUGGUGAGGUAACGGCCCACCAAGGCGACGAUCAGUAGCCGGCCUGAGAGGGUGAUCGGCCACACUGGAACUGAGACACGGUCCAGACUCCUACGGGAGGCAGCAGUGGGGAAUUUUGCGCAAUGGGCGAAAGCCUGACGCAGCAACGCCGCGUGGGUGAUGAAGGUCUUCGGAUCGUAAAACCCUGUCGUCAGGGACGAAGGUUGUGGGGUUAAUAACCCUAUAGCUUGACGGUACCUGGAGAGGAAGCCCCGGCUAACUCUGUGCCAGCAGCCGCGGUAAUACAGAGGGGGCAAGCGUUAUUCGGAAUUACUAGGCGUAAAGCGAGUGUAGGCGGGAGGUUAAGUUUGCUGUUAAAUCUCAUAGCUCAACUAUGAAAUGCCGGCGAAUACUGGCCUUCUUGAAUUCGGUAGGGGUAACUGGAAUUCCAGGUGUAGCGGUGAAAUGCGUAGAUAUCUGGAAGAACGCCAAAGGCGAAAGCAGGUUACUGGGCCGCAAUUGACGCUGAGACUCGAAAGCUAGGGGAGCAAACAGGAUUAGAUACCCUGGUAGUCC
rnacentral:rRNA from 1 species